rnacentral:rRNA from 1 species
GACGAACGCUGGCGGCGUGCUUAACACAUGCAAGUCGAACGGAAAGGCCCUGCUUUUGUGGGGUGCUCGAGUGGCGAACGGGUGAGUAACACGUGAGUAACCUGCCCUUGACUUUGGGAUAACUUCAGGAAACUGGGGCUAAUACCGGUUAGGAGCUCCUGCUGCAUGGUGGGGGUUGGAAAGUUUCGGCGGUUGGGGAUGGACUCGCGGCUUAUCAGCUUGUUGGUGGGGUAGUGGCUUACCAAGGCUUUGACGGGUAGCCGGCCUGAGAGGGUGACCGGCCACAUUGGGACUGAGAUACGGCCCAGACUCCUACGGGAGGCAGCAGUGGGGAAUAUUGCACAAUGGGCGGAAGCCUGAUGCAGCAACGCCACGUGCGGGAUGACGGCCUUCGGGUUGUAAACCGCUUUCGCCUGUGACGAAGCGUGAGUGACGGUAAUGGGUAAAGAAGCACCGGCUAACUACGUGCCAGCCGCCGCCGUAAAAC